rnacentral:rRNA from 1 species
AUUGAACGCUUGCGGCAGGCUUAACACAUGCAAGUCGAACGAGUGGCGGACGGGUGAGUAAUGCCUGGGAAACUGCCUUCUUGAUGGGGAUAACUACUGUAAACUGUAGCUAAUACCGCAUACCAUCGGAUGUGCCCAGCUGGGAUUAGCUAGUUGGUGGGGUAAAGGCUCACCCAGGCGACGAUCCCUAGCUGGUCUGAGAGGAUGACCAGCCACACUGGAACUGAGACACGGGCCAGACUCCUACGGGAGGCAGCAGUGGGGAAUAUUGCGCAAUGGGCGCAAGCAUGAUGCAGCCAUGCCGCGUGUAUGAAGAAGGCCUUCGGGUUGUAAAGUACUUUCGGCAGGGAGGCGUUACCCGCAGAAGAAGCACCGGCUAACUCCGUGCCAGCAGCCGCGGUAAUAC